CGAGAGUUUAACUGUCUCAAACAUUCCCAUAAAAAUUAAUCUUCGGGUGAAGAGGCCCGAAUAAAAUUAAAAGACAAAAAGACCCCGUAGAGCCUAACUUCAAUUUAAGUAUAAGCAAUCUAACAACCUCCCUUAAUAAGAAGUCAAGUUGGGGCGACUAAGGAAAAUCAAAAUCUUCCUUUCACAAAUAGGCCUAUAAGCCCUCAACGAUCCAACUACUUGAUCAACAAAACAGGCUACCUCAGGGAUAACAGGCUAAUCCUCCUCGAGAGCCCAAAUUAACAGGAGGGAUUGGCACCUCGAUGUUGGCUUAGGAA
rnacentral:rRNA from 1 species